rfam:Phlebia centrifuga strain FBCC195 PHLCENscaffold_2975, whole genome shotgun sequence.
AAAAGUAUUUCAAAGGGGUUAUUAAGGAUAACUAGCAAAUUUAUAAAAAAAAGGAGGUAAUUAACCAAAAGCCACAAAUUUAAAUAGUUGGCGAUCCUAAGGGAAACCUUUUAAUAAUCACUUCCCGAAGCAAAUCAUUGUAGUAAGGAAAGGAAAGGAAAUCAACCGAGACUCCGAAAGUAAUGGUGAGUGAAAUCGGAUUAGCCUUAAUAAUAAUAUAAAUUGAAACACUCCCCCCGCACCCAGACUGGCCCGGCUUAGCCUGGCCUGCUGCUGCGCUAGAUAAGGGGUAAGUCAAUUGAAAUAUUCAGCCUUAUCGCUCUAGUCAAUUGUUAAAAUUAAACCAAAGAAGGUUAAAAAAGUCCUGUAAAUUUAUAUUAUUAUUUCUUUAAUCUCCAUGUUCGGGUUACGCCUGUGCAAGGAAUUUAAAGUAUAAAAAGUACGAUGAGAGUUAACUUGUCGGAAUAUAGGGGAACCAUCCUCUAAGGCUAAGUAAUAUAAAUUUAGCGAUAGUGAAAAGUACUGUGAAGGAAAAGUUGAAAUAGUUUGUAAUAGACAAAAUGAAAUAAGCUUGAAUUAGUAACUCUAUAAGCAGUCGAAAUUUUAUAAAAAAAAUGACGGCGUACCUUUUGCAUAAUGGGUCAGCAAGUUAAUAGGAGUAGCAAGGUUAAAAGCCCUAGCGAAAGCGACUGGACUAACUAGCAAUACUUUCAUAAUAUUCAUCUUCAUCUUGCUUUUGGCUUGAUGGUUAUAAGGGUAGUGUAUUUUAAUUUAUUCUUUAAAUUAAAAUAGGAGAAUCCCUUAAUGUCUGGUUUCUAAUAAGAAACUAGCUUUAAGUGCAUUCUUUUUUAGGUAUAGUGGUGGAUAAGUUACUUCUAUUAGACCCGAAGCCAGUUGAUCUUCCCAAGACCAGAUUAUAAUGGAUCGAACGGGUGAAUGUUGCAUAAUUCUCCGAAGAGUUUUGGGAAGCGGUGAAAUGCCAAUCUGAACUGGUGCUAGCUGGUUUUCUACGAAACAUAUGAUAGUAUGACAUCUAUUCAAAAUUUAUGGAGGUACAGCACUGAAUUCCAAACUUAUGUUUAGGUUGUGGGGAUCUAGAAAAUCCUACCAAUGGAAGCUAAUCUCGAAAUUACAUAAAUUGAUGGUAGAUAUUCAGACUGCUCAUGCUAAGUUGGGUAGUCAAGACGGAAACAGCCGAGAACACGCAACAAGGUCCCAAAUGAUUAUUAAGUGAAAUAAAGGAGGUAAAGUGAUCGGAUACAGCAGUACAGUGAGCCCGGAAGUAGCUAUCUGUUAAUAAACGUAACGUAACAACGUAGCUGCAUUAAGAUUGGUGCGCCGAAAAUUCAUCGGGUCUAAAUAAUCAACCGAUAUCGUGUUGAUUUUGAAUAAAAAUAAAAUCCUUUUAUUCUUAAUCUAGGUAGUAGAACAUUCAGUAAACUUAAGAUUAAACAGUGUUUCAUUGUUUAUAGGUAACUGAAGAGAUAAUGCUGACAUGAGUAACGUAAAAAGAAGUUAUAAUACUUCUCGCCGAAUACGAAAGGGUUAUAAGGUCAGGUUUAACCGCCUUAUGUUAAUGCGGCCUCUAAGGUUCAAAACCAAUGUUUUGGCUGAUGAGUUUAUUGCCUAAAGUCCAAAUAAAUGGACCAGGAAAAUAAAGUUAACUUAAUUUAUAAAUAAAAAUAAUUAAAUUAAACUUUAAUUAAUUUUGGGUUUACUAAUUUAAGUCUACCGUACCCUAAACCGACACAGGUUCGUAGGUAGAGUAUACUAAGGCGUUGAGCUAAAAGUUGUUAAGGAACUCGGCAAGUUCACCUCAUAAGUUAGACGAUAAGAGGUACCCCUGAAACUUUAAAUUAGUACGCUACCAAUACCAUAGACUACCAACCCUUAGCCUCGGCUGGGGAAGGUGGGCGGGAAUUAGGAAGGCUACUAAUUUAUUGCGUAAGUAGGUGACACAAAAUCGGAGGCCCCGACUGUUUACUAAAAACACAAUUCAGAGCAAUGAUUAAUAUCAUAGUAUUCUGGAUGAAACUUGCCCGAUGCCAUUAAUAUAAGAGAGGUAAUGGGAUAACUGUUACUAAUCGAAAAUCUGGUUAAUAGCGGUCUUAACUAUGAGGAUCCAAAGGUAGCAAAAUAAAUUGGCCAUUAAAUGUGGUCCGGUAUCAAUAGUAGAACGAUGGUCUCACUGUCUCUACAACUUGCUCAGUGAAAUUGAAUUACCCGUGCAGAUGCGGGUUGCCUCCAGGUGGACGGGAAGACCCUAUGCAGCUUUACUGUAGUUAGUUAUCACGUUGAUCUACAACAACCUUAGUUAAUAGAAACUAGGAAUGUCGAUAGACGAAAAAUGGAAUACCUUUAGACUAAGGUUGGGUCAAUGUUUACCUUAUAAUUUAUAAAUAGGGGGAGAGUUGACUAACUGGCAGUUUGACUGGGGCGGUCGUCUUUAAAAUAGUAGCAAAGUACACCCAAUGAUAACUAUAUAAAAUAAUAUUACUUACUGCGUCCUGCCCUAGCUAUCGACUUUGCCUAUCGCCUCCUGGCUUUGCCAAGGGAGAUUACAGAGGCGCGAGCUAGGGCUGUAGGGAGUAAUAUCCAAACACUAAAUAAUCAAUUAAUCGCUCGUACCCUAGCUAACGCUAUAAAACCGAGGCAAGGGAACGAUGUGGUAAAUUGAUGACAAAUUAAGCCAUCCCUGCUUAUCAGGUUAGCCUGUGCGCAGAAGAUGAGCAGUUAUUUUUUUUUAAAUUAAUAUUUAUUAAUAUUUAUUAAUUAUGCUUUUUAUUUUUUAAUUUAACAUAAAGGUAUAGCUAGAAAAUUGAAUGGGAAUCAAUCGACCAGUGAGAAAGGUACUGUAAUGGUGUAAUGGCAGAAAGCAUGCCUAACUGAAAGACCUAGAAGUCGGACAGAUACGUAAGUAGGGCAUAGUGACCCUUCGCUAUAUAAUGGGAUAGACGGGGAUCAGUUGAUAAAAGUUACGCUAGGGAUAACAGGCUGAUAGCUGGUGAGAGUACACAUUGUCCCAGCUGUUUGGCACCUCGAUGUCGACUCAACCUAUCCUCCAGGGGUAAUAAUUUGGAAGGGUUCGGCUGUUCGCCGAUUAAAAGGUUACGCGAGUUGGGUUUAAUACGACGUGAGUCAGUAUGGUCCCUAUCUUCUGGAGGGAUAAUAGUAAAAAGGGGAGGACCUUCAAGUACGAAAGGACCAAUAGGCUGUGUUUCUCUAGUGUACCAAUUGUUGAAAAAAUAAUUAAUUAGAAUUCCUGCCGUCUAGCUUUAGUUAGGCGAUGGCUGUGUUAAUAUAAUAUUUUAGUAAGCAUAGUUGGGUAGCCACAAACACGAUAGAUAAUUGCUGAAAGCAUAUAAGCAAGAAACUAGCCCCUAGAUACUAUCUAUUAGAAUACUUACAAACUACUAUAAUCAAUCGUUAGUGGUUAAGUAUUCUAAUUUUUAUAAGAAAUAGAACAUUUCUAGAUAGGAUGCAGAUUGAAGUACUUUAAAGUAUUAAGUUUAGCAUUACUAAUUUAUUAAAUAGACUUUAUG